ACUAUAAUAAAUCGGUAACAUAUGUUGCCAGGCAAGGAAAAGUGAUAUAAAUAAAGAGACUAGGAGACCCAAACCAAGCACAAUGUGAAAAGAAUUUAACUUUCAACCUAUUCGUUGGCUAAUUAACAUUUGAAAAGCAAUUUGAAAGUGUAACUGUUAUUUGCUUAUAUUCUUCCUCAUUUUUUUUUUUUUUUUUUUCUCUCUUCAGAUUGCAUUCUUACCCAAAUACUCCUUCGUGAUUGCCUGUUUUGCGGCUUUGGGAUUCUUCAGGGAGUGGAGAACAUUCACAUGGAUGACAUCCCAGUUUUCUCAUCAUGUUGAGUCCAGCUUUUCAUUCACUGACAACUAACUCAAAAAUCUAAAAUUUGAUAUUUUGAGGUUUGUAUUUCCUAAUAUCAAAAAUUCCUUCCUUCUCGUAAGGCAUGUUCUUAAGUGGUCUAUUUCAAACAAAAGAAAAUGACAUUCCCCUUUCAGCUAGCAAAUGUUAGAUUCUCUCAAAGUCGAUUGGGGGCUCACUUGGAAGUUUUGCCAUUAGAGACACACAAAUUGAAUUAUUUUCAUCUCUCCCAAAUAUCAUUCUUCAAACUUUAUAAACGUAGCAAUACUAGGUUU